AUGGCAGAAUGCUGCUGCACUCUUCCCUCCAGUUGUCGCCCUGCCCAGAAAGGCCAGCAGCUUGGAUUUCUUGCCCAGAGACUGACUUGACCCCAUUCAUACCUCUGCAACACCUGCUGCUCCAGCAGGAGCAUGUGAUUCUUUAGAAUAUGGUGGGAAGGUGACCCCAGGCCCUACUGGGAUACAUGUUCUAGUGGCACCAGCUAGUCUUCUCCCAGAAGAAACUGUAUGUUUCCCCAAGUUUCCGAUGCCAUCAGAAGGGCUCAGGAGGGGGGUCUGUCACACAUUUCUCUUAACAAGUAACUGUCACUGGGACCAAGGCCUGGGUGCUUAUGUGUUCCUUUGUGUCUUCAUCUCACUGACCUGUGUGGAUCUCAUCACUCUGGCUCUGCCUUCUUGGAAAGGCCCUGUCACUCCACAGAUGUCUGGCCAGCUUCAAGGAGAAGGAGAAACAGGAAAAGCCCUUUUAACAGCAGCAGGAACAAGAGAAAUGACUAACCAUACUAAGAGACCGGUAACAGCAGCAGCAGGCAGACAGGCCUCACGGUAAGGACUUGGGCUGCCAGAGCAAAUUCACAGAGUGAGCAGUGCUUACCCGGCCCUCCCAUUCACCCCGCUCAGUUCUGUGCCCACAUCGCCUUCGGGGAAGAAAUCAGUGUUCUAACCAGGAACACUACUGCAGGAGUCCACAGCGAGUCCAUCAUCUGUCAUUCCAUGUAGAUCAGGGUUCUGGAUUUCCUCCCUGGAGUUCUCAGAAGCAGCUCUCAGGAUGAACAUACUGUCCUCUUCCCCUCUUCUUGCAAAGAGCACCGCUCAUCUAGUGUUGUCUCUCAGCUGUACCUGACUCUCAUUGUCUCCCCAGUAAGGUGUUGGAAGACUCAGUAUCUGGGUUCCACUCGCAGUCUGGCAGCUCUGUCUGUGAAGUCCUGCAUUGGCCAGGCCCCCUUGUUGCCUGUAGUAUGAUGUAAUCAGAAAACGGAUGUACGGAUGUGCACACGGGUGUCUAUUUGCUUAUGAAAUUAAAGUCACCUCUCGCCUCUGCUUUCCUGAUCAUUCGUUAGAAAAAAAUGGAUCCGGCAUUUUUUUUUAAGUAUUAUUCUUUCUCUAAACUGUUUGCACUGUGUUCAAAAACCCAUUUUAGAAGUUUGAACAGCAAGCUCUUCCUGAUUUUAAAAACAUAAAGAUGCUUUCAACAAAAUAUUUUGUGAUUUUUUUUAAGUCCCUAAAUGUGUACUUGGUCUCCUGUUAUUCUUUAUUCUUUAAGAAGCAUUGGCUUCCAUAGACCAUAUGAAGGCCACCAAUUACAUGGUGGUGUUAAUGCAACACGUAAAAAAAUUUGACAGGGCACAGUGGCUCACGCCUGUAAUCCCAACACUUUGGGAGGCUGAGGCUGGAGGAUCAUUUGAGCCCAGGAGAUUGAUGCCGCAGUGAACUAUGAUUGUGCCCCUGCACUCCAGCCUGGACGAGAGUGAGACCCCCAUCUCUUAAAAAAUAAAAAUAGAGAUUUGAACCUGUUU